AUUGAACGCUGGCGGCAGGCCUAACACAUGCAAGUCGAGCGAGCGGCGGACGGGUGAGUAAUGUAUGGGGACUGCCCGAUAGAGGGGGAUAACUACUGGAAACGGUGGCUAAUACCGAAUACUAUCGGAUAACCCCAAUGGGAUUCGCUAUUAGGUGGGGUAAAGGCUCACCUAGGCGACCAUCUCUAGCUGGUCUGAGAGGAUGAUCACCCAAACUGGAACUGAGACACGGCCCAGACCCCUCCGGAGGCAGCGUUGGGGAAUAUUGCACAAUGGGGGAAAGCCUGAUGCAGCCAUGCCGCGUGUAUGAAGAAGGCCUUAGGGUUGUAAAGUACUUUCAGCGGGUAGGCGUUACCCGCAGAAGAAGCACCGGCUAACUCCGUGCCAGCAGCCGCGGUAAUUC
rnacentral:rRNA from 1 species